CCUACGGGAGGCAGCAGUGAGGAAUAUUGGUCAAUGGCCGGAAGGCUGAACCAGCCAUGCCGCGUGAAGGUCAGUGCCCUUUGGGCGUUAAACUUCUUUUGUGCGGGAGCAAUAAUGGUCACGUGUGGCCAGACGAGAGUACCGUACGAAUAAGCAUCGGCUACCUCCGUGCCAGCAGCCGCGGUAAAACCGGGGGAGCAAGCGUUGUCCGGAUUUAUGGGGUUUAAAGGGUGCGUAGGCUGUGAGGUAAGUCAGGGGUGAAAUGCCCCCGCUCAACGGGGUGAAGUGCCAUUGAUACUGCCGUGCUGGAAUGCGGAUGCCGUGGGAGGAAUGUGUGGUGUAGCGGUGAAAUGCAUAGAUAUCACACAGAACACCGAUUGCGAAGGCAUCUCACGAAUCCGCGAUUGACGCUGAUGCACGAAAGCGUGGGUAUCAAACAGGAUUAGAUACCCCAGUAGUC
rnacentral:rRNA from 1 species